GGAAAAACACUUGCUAAAUAUCAAAGGUAUUGUAAAACAGCUUUGUUAAGUUCAAACAGCUUAGAGGGUUUUAUUCACAGCUAUAUCUAUGUUUUAGACAUCGGGACACAACUGAGACAGAAGAGCCAACAACAGCCUGCCCCUACUGUGCUUUCCAGCUCCCAGAGUGUGAACUUCUGUGUCCUAGCUGUAAAAACAACCUUCCAUACUGCAUUGCAACUGGUCGGCACAUGGUACGCGAUGACUGGACAGUUUGCCCACACUGUGACUUUCCUGCCCUCUACUCAGAAUUCAAAAGCAUGUUACAGACUGAAAAUGUGUGUCCCAUGUGUUCUGAAAGGAUUAAUAUUGUUGAGCUAAAGAAAAUAAAUGACUGCACAGAGUACCUCAAACUAGAAGAUGAGGACCAGUAAAUUCAGAAUUGUUUGUGUUGGCUGGCAAACAGCAAGGAAAGUUCUUCCCUACAUCACACAUCUCUUCCCCAGAAAGGCCUAAUAACAGCCAUGUCACUUCUAUUUUGUCAUAUGUGUAACUAUUUAGCUUUUGAUAAAUUUUGUACUUCAGUUUGUUGUAGUAAUAAAACUGGUAAUUAUUACAAACAAAACCUGCAUUUUAUCUGCACCAAAGAAAAACCACAGGGCCAUCUUUGUAAUGUGAAUGGCAGGAAGAAAAACCACCUCCCUGCUUUUCUCUUUUUCAGUAUCAGUUCUGAACUGUUAUGAAUAAACUUUUUUUACUCUUUAAAUAUUCCUUUCUGGUUUUGAUUAAAGACAGAACUUGUACAAGUACAGGCUACUCAAGUUUUGCAGGUAAAUCCCUCACUUCUUUUCUGUGUCUCCAACUGAACAAAAGGGAAAUUGUAGGAAAAGAGGAAUUCCACAUCAUGUAUUCAAAGGAAAAACAAAACUGUGAAAUAAAGGAGAGAGACAGGACAGAACAGUCCAUUAACUUAAACAAAGCUUUAAAAGAGUCCUAUGAAGCAUUUUAUUGUAAUCUUAUAUACUGCUUAAUUUCUAUAAUGUACAAAUAGGCCAUUCAUGUAUGGGGUUUUUGCAUAAUUUCUAUUUACAAGACUUCACCACAUAAUGUCAGGGGCUUUGUAUAAAAAAAAAAAAA